CAUAAUUUUCGUUGUGGGUUUCAGAGCCCUUGGUCUGCAUCUUCAUUCUCUUCUUCCUCUCCUACUGUGGAAAACAAUAGGACCUCAGUUCGUUUCCAUCCUAAGCGCCUGCGAAGAAACUUAUUCCUUCCUUCACCUUCAUUUUGAAAUUCUAUCAGAAAGCCGGAAUAGCUGCCGCCCCUGCCAGAGCAGUUUCAGCUGUCAAGAACAUGAACAUUCCACAACAAAUAAAAGAUAUGAAGUUGCCAGACUUUCCUCAAGCAAUAAAAGACUUGAAGUUUUGACACUGCAUUUUACCAUGUGAUAUCUUUUCUGGUAUGUCGAUAUGACCUUUUCUUUCAUUUAAGUACUUGAAAAAACAUUCUGCUGACCAAAUUAUUUUUUUUGUGUUUUGCGAGUGAGAAGUUCAACAACUAUUUUAAUGUUACUGUAUGAGAUAUUUUAGAUCUGUUGAGUUAAUUUUAUUUCUGAUAAAUGAAGAUAAAUUUACUAUGCAUGGAAAACUAUAUCAAUUAGAUUUAAUUCCAUUGGUGGUCUUGGUCUUUAUCAUAAGGACACUCAUCACACACAUAAUGUGCAUCAUCACAUGCAGCUGUAUAUUAACUAAAUAAAUGUGAAAUGUUUCUCUAGUGCAUGCAACAAUUCUUGUGAUGGGAUGUGACUGGGAUAUGCCUCAAGUGAUUUCUGAAUGACUAUGUAGCUGGCCUGCAGGUCUCCUAACUGCAAAGAGAGAAAUAAACAUUCAUUGUGGGCAUUAAUUGUUUGCUCUGUUGGAAAAGGUGGCUCAAAGAUAUUGCUGAACAAGAUACUUCACCUUGUUGGAUAAAGCUGCAUGGUUAAAAUAUGGUUCAAACAAGUAUGGUGCCAAGCUUGCAGCAGCUUGAAAAAAAGCCCGAGCU